GGGGAAGUGUGAGUGAUAAGACGUGAAGUGACCUCGCUCGUGGUGAAAAUUCCUACAGGACAGAAUCUGUCACCGACGUCAUGACCGUUGACUGCCUUCAGACGCAAUUCAGCGGGAAAUUGGUCAACUAUGAGACUCGGGCUUCGGGGAAAAUACGAAUUUACGAGGGACUGAAGUUCGGGACGAUAAUCGAGAGAAGUGUCUGUACAUGGAAAUUAGACGGUUGAAAUGAAUAAUUUCUUUUGGAUUGUUUUGAAGGGCUGCUAAUGUAAUACAAUUAAUUUGCGCAUUUUAUAAUAAUUCUUUGCUGUGGGUAUAAUCAAAAAACCCCAGUUAUGAAAAAUUUAGGGAGAUACAAAAGCACCAAAAUGACCUGCUUAA